rfam:Ixodes scapularis strain Wikel colony gcontig_1107728638662, whole genome shotgun sequence.
UUAGUCCUUUAAGUAGUAGUGCCGCAGGUAAGGGCUUGCCACUGUUACCUGCACACAACUGCUUGACUGAUUAA